rnacentral:lncRNA from 10 species
AAAAAAGUUACAGUAAGCUGUUAAUUUACUACUGAAGAAAAGAAUUAAUAAAACUAAUGUAAACAAAGUCACAGUAUUUAUAAAAUCUACAGUAGUGUACAGCAAUGUGCUGGACCUUCACAUUCACUCUGCACUCACUUGCUGACUCACUGAGAGCAACUUCCAGUCCUGCAAGCCACAAGCUUCAUUCACGGAAGCUGCAUUGCUUUCUUUCUACGGGAAUAGUUUCACAUAGCGACCUGUCCCAACACCUAUGAUUUGCAUUGUGGACCAAAGGCCAGUGUGAAGACCAGAGCCACAGAAGAGCCCACCAGAAAGUGUGUGAGAAUACUCAAUGGUAUGUUGAGGCAGUUUUCAAAAAAAUCAUUAUUUUACAUUCACUGGUUGCUGCCUUGUCCAGAUAAACAAUAUCUCUGUCCUUUUGCCAAGUACACAAGUCAUUUUUUGUUCUUUUAGGCUAAAAGGCCAAUUUUAAUAGAAUUUUUUCAUUUGGUUAAUUCACUCUGGAAAGUAAGAAUAUAAAUGACUUAAAUG